CUCCUCAUAUUCUUACUGCUUCAAACCAGAGACAGAGAAAGAAAACCUGAAAAAUGGGAACCUCCAACCACUACUGUUGUCUUCUCCUGAUCUGUGCAAUACUAGCCGUUCAAGUGGCGGCAUCAACCUCAUCAACGGCAGCCGUUGAUUUCAUUCCGAUGGCACCGGGUUGCCGUGGAUCCAUCGCCGAGUGCUUGAUGAGCGGAGACGAAGAUUUCGAGAUGGAGCUGGCCAUGGACAGUGAGAUCAACCGGCGUAUCUUAGCAAUUAACAAGUAUAUAAGCUACGGUGCGCUGAGGAGGAACACUGUGCCUUGUUCGAGACGCGGCGCCUCGUAUUACAACUGCCGACCAGGAGCUCAGGCCAACCCCUACACUCGUGGGUGCAAUCGUAUCACGCGCUGCAGGAAUUAAAUUUUUUUUUAAUUUUUUAUUUGGGGUGUUUAUAAUUAUAAUUAAUUAUGUGAUUGUUAUGUGUUAAUUUUGUGCGCCCACAGAUGCUUAUGAUGGGUUUAUGGAAUAAAAUAAAAUUUGAAAAAAAAAUUAUUGGAUUAUUAAUUUAUGAUGUAUGUAAUUCGAUCUAAUGUAUUCACAAUGUUAUAUAAUAAUUAUUAUUAUUAUUUUCAUUUUAGUUUCUCUAUGAAUUAUUAAUAUAUAUUAUUUUCUUUAUAUAU
rnacentral:misc_RNA from 1 species